AAGCUCGUAGUUGAAUUUCGGGGUUCUACCGUUGGUCGGGCUAACCAGUCUGUACUAGCGUGUAGAACUCCUACCUUCUGGGGAACCAUCAUGUUAUUAAUUUAGCGUGGUGGGAAACCAGGACCUUUACCUUGAAAAAAUUAGAGUGUUCAAAGCAGGCUUACGUCUGAAUACAUUAGCAUGGAAUAAUAAAAUAGGACGGUGGUCCUGUUUUGUUGGUUUCUGAAUCACCGUAAUGAUUAAUAGGGAUAGUUGGG
rnacentral:rRNA from 1 species